GUUAGUUGCUAUGGGCGUUCGGUGGAUGUCUUGGCACAAGUGGCUGAUGAAGGACGUGGCGGCCUGCGUUAUUCCCUGGGGAGUUGGCGAGCGAGCGUUGAUCUGGGGGUUUCCGAAUGGGGUAACCUAGCCUCCUGUUUGGGGGUUACUGCGCACUGAAUUGAUAGGUGUGUGGGAGGUACGAGGGGAAGUGAAACAUCUUAGUACCCUUAGGAGAAGAUAUUUCGUGAGUAGUGGUGAGCGAAAGCGGAUGAUGGCUAAACCGUGUGCGUGUGAUACUCGGCAGGGGUUGCGUGUGCGGUGUUGUGGGGUCUUUUUGUUGCUUGUCUGCCGGCGAGUAGAUUCCGGGAUGAUUGUUUUGGCGAAGGGUUUGGAAUGGCCUGCCGUAGUGCGUGAGAGUCGUGUAGUUUUUGAUGAUUGUUCUGGUUUGGAGAAGGUGCCCGAGUAGUGCGGGACUCGUGGAAUCUCGUGUGAAUCUGCCCAGACCACUGGGUAAGCCUGAAUACUUACUUGUGACCGAUAGUGGAUUAGUACCGUGAGGGAAUGGUGAAAAGUACCCCGGGAGGGGAGUGAAAUAGUUCCUGAAACCGGGCGCUUACAAGCCGUCAGAGCCUGUUUGUUGGGUGAUGGCGUGCCUAUUGAAGAAUGAGCCUGCGAGUUAGUGACAUGUGGCUUGGUUAACCCGUGUGGGGUAGUCGUAGCGAAAGCGAGUCUGAUAAGGGCGUUUGGUCGCGUGUUCUAGACCCGAAGCGGGGUGAUCUACGCAUGGUCAGGUUGAAGCUAUGGUAAGACGUGGUGGAGGACCGAACCCACUUCAGUUGAAAAUGGAGGGGAUGAACUGUGCGUAGGGGUGAAAGGCCAAUCAAACUCCGUGAUAGCUGGUUCUCCCCGAAAUGCAUUUAGGUGCAGCGUUGAGUUUAGGUUUGUGUGAGGUAGAGCUACUGGUUGGUCAAUGGGCCUUGUUGGUUACUGAGACCAGCCAAACUCCGAAUGCGCAUUAAACUAUUGCUUGGCAGUGAGACAGCGGGGGAUAAGCUUCGUUGUCAAAAGGGAAACAGCCCAGAUCGCCGGUUAAGGCCCCUAAGGGUAUGCUUAGUGGGAAAGGAUGUGUAGUUGCUGUGACAGCCAGGAGGUUGGCUUAGAAGCAGCCAUCCUUGAAAGAGUGCGUAAUAGCUCACUGGUUUAGUGAUUGCGCGCCGAUAAUUUAGCGGGGCUUAAGCAUACCGCCGAUACCGUGGCUUCCAUACGUGUGCUGGCUGCUCUUUGUUGGGUGGUUGGUGUGUGGUUGGGUAGGGGAGCGUCCUGCAUGAGGUGAAGUUUCGGAGUGAUCCGGGGUGGAUUGUGUGGGAGUGAGAAUGCAGGCAUGAGUAGCGAUUGAGAAGUGAGAAUCUUUUCCGUCUUAUAACUAAGGGUUCCAGGGGUAGGUUCGUCCGCUCUGGGUUAGUCGGGUCCUAAGGCGAGGCCGUCAGGCGUAGUCGAUGGUUAACCAGUUUUUAUUCUGGUACCGGCAUAUUCUCGUUCAGUGGUGAGGCGCAUAGUACUAACCAAUAUUUACUGCUGGUUUUCCCUUUCGGGGGUUUGCUGGUGGUGGUCUUGGGACCGAUGUGUGUAGUAGUCAAGCGUGUUAACAGGGGUGACGCAGUUAGAUAGCUCAGCGUCGUGAUGGUUUACGGCGUUCAAGCAUGUGGCCUAUCGGGUUGGUAAAUCCGCUCGUGUUUGGGUGAGGUGUGAUGGUGACCUGUUUUUGUGGGGAUAUUGGGUGAUUCUGUGCUGUCUAGAAAAGCCUCGGCGUUAGAGGGUGUGUUGCCCGUACCCUAAACCGACACAGGUGGUUUGGUAGAGAAUACUAAGACGUGCGAGUGAAUCAUGGUUAAGGAACUCGGCAAAAUGCCUCCGUAACUUUGGGAGAAGGAGGACCCGGCCUUUUACAUUACCUUUGCGGUUUUGGUGGGGGUUGGGGCGCAGAGACCAGGGGGAAGCGACUGUUUAUCAAAAACAUAGGUGUGUGCGAAGCCGUAAGGCGAUGUAUACGCACUGACGCCUGCCCGGUGCUGGAAGGUUAAGAGGAACCCUUAAUCGGCUUUUGUUGGUGAAGGGGUGAAUUUAAGCCCCAGUAAACGGCGGUGGUAACUAUAACCAUCCUAAGGUAGCGAAAUUCCUUGUCGGGUAAGUUCCGACCUGCACGAAUGGCGUAA
rnacentral:rRNA from 1 species